UUCAAAAAGGAGAUUCUUAUUGAGUACAGAGGGGAAGUCAUAAGUAGAAAGGAACAAGAAAACCGAUUGAAAAUUUACCAUGAUGCACUCGAGGCUUUUAUGUUUGAUUUCAAGUUCAAUGGACAACAGCUUUGUGUUGAUGCUGCCAGAGAGGAUGGAUCAUUGGGGAGGCUGGUAAAUGAUGAAGAGAUGAACCCAAACAGCAAAUUGAAAGUUACAAGGGUGGAUGGAAGACCUCAUCUUUGUUUAUUUGCACUCAAAGAUAUUGGUCCUGGGGAAGAAAUCACUUAUGUUUAUGGUGAUUCUGACUGGCCAUGGAGAAGAAAGAUUUCCAAAGAUGAACUGUGUCAGGCUGUUGACGUGGACGCAUGCGGAUCCUGUUCAACUAACCCUCCAGAGAUUUCCAAAGAUGAAAGGUGUCAGGCUGGUGACGUGGAUGCAUGCGGAUCCUGUUCAACCAACCCUCCAGAGG